rnacentral:rRNA from 1 species
GCCCGUCACACCAUGGGAGUUGGCUGCACCAGAAGCCGGUAGUCUAACCGCAAGGGGGACGCCGUCCACGGUGUGGUCAAUGACUGGGGUGAAGUCGUAACAAGGUAGCCGUAGGGGAACCUGCGGCUGGAUCACCUCCUUU